AUUGAACGCUGGCGGCAGGCCUAACACAUGCAAGUCGAGCGGAUGAAGGGAGCUUGCUCCUGGAUUCAGCGGCGGACGGGUGAGUAAUGCCUAGGAAUCUGCCUGGUAGUGGGGGAUAACGUCCGGAAACGGGCGCUAAUACCGCAUACCUCCUGAGGGAGAAAGUGGGGGAUCUUCGGACCUCACGCUAUCAGAUGAGCCUAGGUCGGAUUAGCUAGUUGGUGGGGUAAAGGCCUACCAAGGCGACGAUCCGUAACUGGUCUGAGAGGAUGAUCAGUCACACUGGAACUGAGACACGGUCCAGACUCCUACGGGAGGCAGCAGUGGGGAAUAUUGGACAAUGGGCGAAAGCCUGAUCCAGCCAUGCCGCGUGUGUGAAGAAGGUCUUCGGAUUGUAAAGCACUUUAAGUUGGGAGGAAGGGCAGUAAGUUAAUACCUUGCUGUUUUGACGUUACCAACAGAAUAAGCACCGGCUAACUUCGUG
rnacentral:rRNA from 1 species